AUUGAACGCUGGCGGCAGGCCUAACACAUGCAAGUCGAACGAGUGGCGGACGGGUGCGUAAUGUCUGGGAAACUGCCUGAUGGAGGGGGAUAACUACUGGAAACGGUAGCUAAUACCGCAUACCAUCGGAUGUGCCCAGAUGGGAUUAGCUAGUAGGUGGGGUAAAGGCUCACCUAGGCGACGAUCCCUACCUGGUCUGAGAGGAUGAUCAGCCACACUGGAACUGAGACACGGUCCAGACUCCUACGGGAGGCAGCAGUGGGGAAUAUUGUGCAAUGGGCGAAAGCCUGAUGCAGCCAUGCCGCGUGUGUGAAGAAGGCCUUCGGGUUGUAAAGCACUUUAAGUGGGGAGGCGUUACCCGCAGAAUAAGCACCGGCUAACUCCGUGCCAGCAGCCGCGGUAAUUC
rnacentral:rRNA from 1 species